GUCUCAGGCCGUAUCAGCCUGAAGGCGCUCGAUCUCGUCUGAUCUCGGAAGCUAAGCAGGGUCGGGCCUGGUUAGUAUCUUGGAUGGGAGACCACCUGGGAAUCCCCGGGUGCUCGAGGCU
rnacentral:rRNA from 1 species